UGAGGAAUAUUGGUCAAUGGGCGAGAGCCUGAACCAGCCAAGUAGCGUGCAGGAAGACGGCCCUAUGGGUUGUAAACUGCUUUUGUAUGGGGAUAAAGUCAAUCACGUGUGAUUGUUUGCAGGUACCAUACGAAUAAGGACCGGCUAAUUCCGUGCCAGCAGCCGCGGUAAUACGGAAGGUUCGGGCGUUAUCCGGAUUUAUUGGGUUUAAAGGGAGCGUAGGCCGGAGAUUAAGUGUGUUGUGAAAUGUAGACGCUCAACGUCUGACUUGCAGCGCAUACUGGUUUCCUUGAGUACGCACAACGUUGGCGGAAUUCGUCGUGUAGCGGUGAAAUGCUUAGAUAUGACGAAGAACUCCGAUUGCGAAGGCAGCUGACGGGAGCGCCACUGACGCUUAAGCUCGAAGGUGCGGGUAUCGAACAGGAUUAGAUACCCUGGUAGUCCGCACAGUAAACGAUGGAUGCCCGCUGUUGGUACCUGGUAUCAGCGGCUAAGCGAAAGCAUUAAGCAUCCCACCUGGGGAGUACGCCGGCAACGGUG
rnacentral:rRNA from 1 species